rnacentral:rRNA from 1 species
UACGGGGGGGGCAAGCGUUGUUCGGAAUUACUGGGCGUAAAGGGCGCGUAGGCGGUCUGUUAAGUUGGAUGUGAAAACUCUGGGCUUAACCCAGAGCCUGCAUCCAAAACUAGCAGGCUAGAGUUCUGGAGGGGAUAGCGGAAUUCCUGGUGUAGCGGUGAAAUGCGCAGAUAUCAGGAGGAACACCAAUGGCGAAGGCAGCUCGCUGGGACGGUACUGACGCUGAGGCGCGAAAGCGUGGGGAGCAAACAGG